rnacentral:lncRNA from 1 species
ACCGUCAGGAGUAGUAGCCUAGCUACUGUACGUAUGUGAUGUUGGACGCGCGUGCUUAUGUCACUUCCCUGUGCUCGCUCGUGCUAAUUAUUGGUGUGAUGCGUAUUGUCGCCUGCUAAAGUGCUACGUAUGUGUUGUCGUUGUAGUACCACGAUCGACUUGUAGAAGUACUGUGCUACUAGCUGGGAUCGUCGAGUGAGUGAGCUUGCUGGCUGUAAAUCAACAAGUGUGUGGCUACCUGUGUACUCUACGUGGUUGUAGUACGUAGCUAAUUGUUCUCCGUGUGUCUAGCUGAACUGAAGCAGUGUGGCUAGCUGAGGCCUCCGGGCCAUGUAUGUAUGUAUGCCAAUGCCACGUAGCAUGCGCACCGAGCUUACAAGUAGCAAUGGUAAUCAUCAUGUCGCCGUCUUUGUAAGUGCCAUUGUACAUAUGAAUAUGAGGGUAUCACUGUAUCAGUAAUUAUUCGGUAUCACCUGGUAACAGUGACAGUAUAACACGCACUACCCUCCUACAUCUACAUGGCUGACGAAAUUGCAUUACCCUCCUACAUCGUGCGUAUGAAUAUGAAGGUAUCAGUAAUUAUUCGGUAUCACGUGGUAACAG